GAUGAACGCUGGCGGCGUGCCUAAUACAUGCAAGUCGAGCGAACAGACGAGGAGCUUGCUCCUCUGACGUUAGCGGCGGACGGGUGAGUAACACGUGGAUAACCUACCUAUAAGACUGGGAUAACUUCGGGAAACCGGAGCUACUACCGGAUAAUAUAUUGAACGGCAUGGUUCAAUAGUGAAAGACGGUUUUGCUGUCACUUAUAGAUGGAUCCGCGCCGCAUUAGCUAGUUGGUAAGGUAACGGCUUACCAAGGCAACGAUGCGUAGCCGACCUGAGAGGGUGAUCAGCCACACUGGAACUGAGACACGGUCCAGACUCCUACGGGAGGCAGCAGUAGGGAAUCUUCCGCAAUGGGCGAAAGCCUGACGCAGCAACGCCGCGUGAGUGAUGAAGGUCUUCGGAUCGUAAAACUCUGUUAUUAGGGAAGAACAAAUGUGUAAGUAACUAUGCACGUCUUGACGGUACCUAAUCAGAAAGCCACGGCUAACUACGUG
rnacentral:rRNA from 1 species